rnacentral:rRNA from 1 species
UACGGGGGGGGUAAGCGUUGUUCGGAAUUACUGGGCGUAAAGGGCUCGUAGGCGGCCAACUAAGUCAUACGUGAAAUCCCUCAGCUUAACUGGGGAACUGCGUGUGAUACUGGAUGGCUUGGAUUUGGGAGAGGGAUGCGGAAUUCCAGGUGUAGCGGUGAAAUGCGUAGAUAUCGGGAGGAACACCAGUGGCGAAGGCGACUACCUGGCCUGUUCUUGACGCUGAGGCGCGAAAGCUAGGGGAGCAAACGGG